AGCGAACGCUGGCGGCAGGCCUAACACAUGCAAGUCGAACGAAGUCUUCGGACUUAGUGGCGGACGGGUGAGUAACACGUGGGAACGUACCUUUUGGUUCGGAACAACUCAGGGAAACUUGAGCUAAUACCGGAUGAGCCCUUAGGGGGAAAGAUUUAUCGCCGAAAGAGCGGCCCGCGUUAGAUUAGCUAGUUGGUGAGGUAAAGGCUCACCAAGGCUACGAUCUAUAGCUGGUCUGAGAGGAUGAUCAGCCACACUAGGACUGAGACACGGCCCAGACUCCUACGGGAGGCAGCAGUGGGGAAUCUUGCGCAAUGGGCGAAAGCCUGACGCAGCCAUGCCGCGUGAAUGAUGGAGGUCUUAGGAUUGUAAAAUUCUUUUACCAGGGACGAUAAUGACGGUACCUGGAGAAAAAGCCCCGGCUAACUUCGUGCCAGCAGCCGCCGUAACAC
rnacentral:rRNA from 1 species